AGCUCGACCGGGUCGACGCCGCGGGUGACCACCAGGUAGUCGCGCAACGCGAUCCCGUGCCGGCCUUC
rfam:Kribbella flavida DSM 17836, complete genome.